UGAAUGUGUCUCCAGAGCUGUGAGGCUCCCCAGUUGGAGCCCAGUUAAUCAGAAAAAAGCAAAAGUAACCAUUCUAAUGCUGCAGGGAGUCUAUGGUUACCCUAUCGAAAUUCAAGCAUUAUUUUUCAUGGCAUUAAGGUGUGCUCUGCAACUUCUUCGAGAUGAAGGUGAUGGGAAGGAAUUUAUAAUGAUGAUCGAAAAAAGAUUGUCAGCAUUGACAUAUCAUAUGCAUAGUUACUUUUGGCUUGACUUUCAGCAGCUGAACAAUAUCUACCGAUACAAGCCGG
rnacentral:misc_RNA from 1 species